rnacentral:rRNA from 1 species
UGAACGCUGGCGGCGUGCCUAAUACAUGCAAGUCGAGCGAACAGACGAGGAGCUUGCUCCUCUAACGUUAGCGGCGGACGGGUGAGUAACACGUGGAUAACCUACCUAUAAGACUGGGAUAACUUCGGGAAACCGGAGCUAAUACCGGAUAAUAUAUUGAACCGCAUGGUUCAAUAGUGAAAGACGGUUUUGCUGUCACUUAUAGAUGGAUCCGCGCCGCAUUGGCUAGUUGGUAAGGUAACAGCUUACCAAGGCAACGAUGCGUAGCCGACCUGAGAGGGUGAUCGGCCACACUGGAACUGAGACACGGUCCAGACUCCUACGGGAGGCAGCAGUAGGGAAUCUUCCGCAAUGGGCGAAAGCCUGACGGAGCAACGCCGCGUGAGUGAUGAAGGUCUUCGGAUCGUAAAACUCUGUUAUUAGGGAAGAACAAAUGUGUAAGUAACUAUGCACGUCUUGACGGUACCUAAUCAGAAAGCCACGGCUAACUACGUG